CUAUAUUAUUAUUCCCGAUGAGAACCACAAGUGACGAAUCGAGUGACGACGAAACCCUAAGAGACGACGCAAAUCAUGACAGCGAUGAUGACGAAAUCCGCGAUCGAGCAGGCGGUGAAAUAUUCCUCUGGAUUCACAAGGAUAUCUUUUGGAUAUCUCACGUACUACCUUUCUGCUUCGCAUAGGUUGAAGUCAAGCAUUAAGGAGUUGGAUAGAUGUCUGGAGGAGAGAGCCAAGUUGUACGAGAACAGCAAGCGAAAUAAAUUUAUGUAGAUGAGCUUUUAUGUUUUAGAUGUUCAUCAAUUAACUACUUUGUAUCUUUUAUUUUGAUAACUGGUUUGUUUAGACUACAAACUGAGACUUAAAUGAGUAAAAAGCUUACUUUUCUCUAGUAUUUA